rnacentral:rRNA from 1 species
GAUUGAACGCUUGCGGCANGCCUUACACAUGCAAGUCGAACGGUAACAGGUCUUCGGACGCUGACGAGUGGCGAACGGGUGAGUAAUACAUCGGAACGUGCCCAGUCGUGGGGGAUAACUACUCGAAAGAGUAGCUAAUACCGCAUACGAUCUGAGGAUGAAAGCGGGGGACCUUCGGGCCUCGCGCGAUUGGAGCGGCCGAUGGCAGAUUAGGUAGUUGGUGGGAUAAAAGCUUACCAAGCCGACGAUCUGUAGCUGGUCUGAGAGGACGACCAGCCACACUGGGACUGAGACACGGCCCAGACUCCUACGGGAGGCAGCAGUGGGGAAUUUUGGACAAUGGGCGAAAGCCUGAUCCAGCAAUGCCGCGUGCAGGAUGAAAGCCUUCGGGUUGUAAACUGCUUUUGUACGGAACGAAAAAGCUUCUACUAAUACGAGAGGCCCAUGACGGUA